UCGAGCGGAACGAGUUAACUGAACCUUCGGGGAACGUUAACGGCGUCGAGCGGCGGACGGGUGAGUAAUGCCUGGGAAAUUGCCCUGAUGUGGGGGAUAACCAUUGGAAACGAUGGCUAAUACCGCAUAAUAGCUUCGGCUCAAAGAGGGGGACCUUCGGGCCUCUCGCGUCAGGAUAUGCCCAGGUGGGAUUAGCUAGUUGGUGAGGUAAUGGCUCACCAAGGCGACGAUCCCUAGCUGGUCUGAGAGGAUGAUCAGCCACACUGGAACUGAGACACGGUCCAGACUCCUACGGGAGGCAGCAGUGGGGAAUAUUGCACAAUGGGCGCAAGCCUGAUGCAGCCAUGCCGCGUGUAUGAAGAAGGCCUUCGGGUUGUAAAGUACUUUCAGCAGUGAGGAAGGCGGAGUCGUUAAUAGCGGCCUCGUUUGACGUUAGCUGCAGAAGAAGCACCGGCUAACUCCGUGCCAGCAGCCGCGGUAAUACGGAGGGUGCGAGCGUUAAUCGGAAUUACUGGGCGUAAAGCGCAUGCAGGUGGUUUGUUAAGUCAGAUGUGAAAGCCCGGGGCUCAACCUCGGAAUUGCAUUUGAAACUGGCAGACUAGAGUACUGUAGAGGGGGGUAGAAUUUCAGGUGUAGCGGUGAAAUGCGUAGAGAUCUGAAGGAAUACCGGUGGCGAAGGCGGCCCCCUGGACAGAUACUGACACUCAGAUGCGAAAGCGUGGGGAGCAAACAGGAUUAGAUACCCUGGUAGUCCACGCCGUAAACGAUGUCUACUUGGAGGUUGUGGCCUUGAGCCGUGGCUUUCGGAGCUAACGCGUUAAGUAGACCGCCUGGGGAGUACGGUCGCAAGAUUAAAACUCAAAUGAAUUGACGGGGGCCCGCACAAGCGGUGGAACAUGGUGGUUUAAUUCGAUGCAACGCGAAGAACCUUACCUACUCUUGACAUCCAAAGAACUUUCCAAAGAUGGAUUGGUGCCUUCGGGAACUCUGAAACAGGGGC
rnacentral:rRNA from 1 species